GAUGAACGCUGGCGGCGUGCCUAAUACAUGCAAGUCGAGCGAACAGAUGAGGAGCUUGCUCCUCUGACGUUAGCGGCGGACGGGUGAGUAACACGUGGAUAACCUACCUAUAAGACUGGGAUAACUUCGGGAAACCGGAGCUAAUACCGGAUAAUAUAUUGAACCGCAUGGUUCAAUAGUGAAAGACGGCUUUGGUGUCACUUAUAGAUGGAUCCGCGCCGCAUUAGCUAGUUGGUAAUGUAACGGCUUACCAAGGGAACGAUGCGUAGCCGACCUGAGAGGGUGAUCGGCCACACAGGAGCUGAGACGCGGUCCAGACUCCUACGGGAGGCAGCAGUAGGGAAUCUUCCGCAAUGGGCGAAAGCCUGACGGAGCAACGCCACGUGAGUGAUGAAGGUCUUCGGAUCGUAAAACGCUGUUAUUAGGGAAGAACAAAUGUGUAAGUAACUAUGCACGUCUUGACGGUACCGAAUCAGAAAGCCACGGCUAACUACGU
rnacentral:rRNA from 1 species